UCUCCGAGGCUCUGGUGGACAGCCGGUUGACCAAGGCCCAGUUGGCGCUGUACUGCAGGCGGAGGACCCGUGGAGAGGAGGCCACCAUCCGCCAGGUGGAGGCCCUGCUGCAGGAGCUGAUGGGGGACAAAGGCAGGGACCUGCUGGGUGUUCCCCUCCUGGACCGGGUGAGGAUGGAGCACAUCUGGCGGGUUCAGAAGAGGCACGUCAAGUGCAUCCAGGACCUGCCAGGUGUGCCUCUGUACACAAAGACCGGCACCACCACCACCAAGGACGGCGUCGUCCUCACCAAAUACAGGUGUGCGCGAGGUUCAACGUCACUGGAGUCCUUCCACUGCCACCUGAACCGCUUUAUUCCAGGGACCCAGGCCAAUGACCUGAACUUCCAGCUCUACUUGCUGGACGGGCUGAACCGGUGGAACCAGGACCGGGCUGCUGCUGCUGUGGCUGAGAAGAUGUCCGCUCUCCUCAGCUACUCAGGGGAUCUGGUACACUGUGUGAACACAUUUGGCACCAAUGUGUUUGGACAGAUGUUUGUCCCCUCUUUCCGCCUCCCCAGCAAGUACACUGGAGAGUUGAUAGGCAUUGACUACCUCUACAUGCAGACGGGGAAGUGCAUGCAGGACAUGGAUCCUGAGGGGGAGGAGACGGAGCAGCUGCUGGAGGACCUGGGCGACGAGGCAGAGGAUGAGGGCUUCACAGACGACACCGAGGCUAGUCUGGAGCUCUUCUCUGCCCUCAUUUCACUACCACCUGCUCAGCCCUCCACCAGUGGUUCCUGGUCCGCUGCUCCACCUCCUCCUUCUCCACCACCGGCUCAGCCCUCCACCAGUGGUUCCUGGUCCGCUGCUCCACCUCCUCCUUCUCCACCACCACCGGCUCAGCCCUCCACCAGUGGUUCCUGGUCCGCUGCUCCACCUCCUCCUUCUCCUCCACCACCGGCUCAGCCCUCCACCAGUGGUUCCUGGUCCGCUGCUCCACCUCCUCCUUCUCCACCACCACCUCCACCUGCGUCAUCUGCUGUCACCGCUCCGGGUGCCGCCCCACAGGUUCCUGUUGAGCAGUUGGCAGUGGAUGAAAACAACAUCCCGGGCCUGGAGAGGGUGGACCGCCUAGCCGAGUAUCUGGUGGGGCUGAGGAGCCAGACCAGCCUGGCCCUCAGCAACCGGGAUGUCGGCAUCAUCGUCGGCCUGUGGGAGGACC
ensembl:lncRNA